GCAAACUUGGUCAUUUAGAGGAAGUAAAAGUCGUAACAAGGUCUCCGUUGGUGAACCAGCGGAGGGAUCAUUAAAGAGUUGCAAAACUCCCUAAACCAUUGUGAACGUUACCUUCUACCGUUGCUUCGGCGGGCGGGCCCCAGCGCCCCCCGGGCCCCCCGUGGGCGCCCGCCGGAGGUACCCAACCCUUGAAAAUUGCAUGGCCUCUCUGAGUCUUCUGUACUGAAUAAGUCAAAACUUUCAACAACGGAUCUCUUGGUUCUGGCAUCGAUGAAGAACGCAGC
rnacentral:misc_RNA from 1 species